AGCGUACAAAAGACAAAAUCCAUCUCUAACGCACCUCUUCUCUUUCUUUACCUCAAGAGUUCCUCUUGGGGAUCCAUGGCGUUCCGAGCGAGAUAUCUUCGCCGGCUUCGCCCUAUCCAUCCUGAAGCGAUCGCCUCCAUCACGGGCGGCGGCUGCGUCGGCCAAAUGAGGCUCCAGUGCACCGCUGACCUGGGAGGCUCCGGCAGGUUCUCCGGUGGCAAAAGCGCGUACGAGGUGCUUGGGGUCUCGGAGUCCAGCUCCUUCCCGGAGAUCAAGGCCUCGUUCCGCAAGCUUGCCAAGGAGACCCACCCUGACGUCGUUUCGUCGGCCUCGGCAGACGAUGCCACCGCAUCCCAGCGCUUCCUCCAGAUCCUCGCCGCUUAUGAAAUUCUUUCUGAUUCUAAUAAAAGAGCCCAUUACGAUAGCUAUUUGCUUUCUCAGAGGGCAAUAUUGCGGAAGCAGUGUGGACUUGGUACAACUAUCUACACUCACAACUCAUCUCUAAUCAUGUCAAAGCAAAGUGAUGUAGUUGAAUGGCUAAAAUGGUAUAGACUUUCUGUCAAUGAUAUCGUUAUGGAGAGGAGAGUUGCGAUGGGCUCUGGUUAUUUUGACAAACUUGAGAAUGAGCUUUACUCAGCAAUCCGCAUGGCAUAUUAUGGGCCAGUCGUUGAGUCUAUGGAUCUUCUUCCCGACUCUUUUGAAGCUGAAGAGAGGUCUGCAUAUGAAACUUCAGAGGUAUUGCACCUAGUUUCAGGACGUGAUCUGUUUGGGAUUGUUAAUUUGGUGGGCAGGACUCCUGAGCUAUCUCAUAUGUGCCAUGAAAAGUUAACUACUUUUGAUUUCAACGUUCAUGGAGUUCCUGAACAGGUUUGGCAGCCUAUGGUUAAAGGGAACUGUGUUCAUCCAAGGAUUGUAGAUGUUUGUGAGAAGGAAACGGGACAAGACACUAAUUUUGAAUCAGAUUCUUACAAAGAUCUUGAACUCCGUAUUCUUGGGAGAGUAGUUGCAAUGGCAACCAGGAGUCCUAGGUGCAAAUGUCUUGGCUUGCCAAUGGAUGAUUUGGAAGACCAUAUACAUGUUUUUCUUACCACAGAUGGGGCCCAAAAUUCAGUUACACCUGGUUCAAGAACUCCACUGGGAACCAUAACAGGACUAGGGACAAGUGCUGAAGAAGGAUCUUGCUUUGUUUAUGACAGAGCUGGUGUUAAAACCCAUGUGAUUAUGAAGCAUAGAACAUUGCUGGUUAAACACAUGCACUGGUACCAAGUACAUGGUGAAGCUUCAGCUUGUGAGUGCCGAUGUAGUAGAGCUCGCUUACCACCUAGCAAAUAUUGGCUGUUUGAACCUCGUUGCUGUCUGCAUGACGUUGGUGGCUGGUAUAUUGAAACAUUUGGGCGGGACAAGAAAGGAAAGACUGUCCCAUCUCAAAGACAGUGGGAUGGUAUGAUUGAACAGUCUGAAAAGAGACUACAUCCUGCUGUAUAUUUUCUGGCUCUGGCAUAUAGAACAUUAGACCUUGAACAUGCAAAAAGGAGCAGGUGGAGCAUUACGAAUUUUGUGGUACCUUAUAUUUUUAGCAUUACUCGCUGGUGGCAGAAACUCAUGUAGUUGGAUUCACUUUGGACCUUCAGAAAGAAGCUACUUUAUUUAUCAGCAGAAUUAUGCCAGGGGGUACAUCAAAGACAUGAAUUACUAUGAAAAAGAGAGAUCAAUCACUUAUUGAGAAUUUGAGAUACUUAUAUCAUGGUUGGUUUACAUUUUGGAAGGACAAUUCUUCAUCUCCUUGUCAACUUUAUCAUAAUCUGAUAUCUAUGAUCCACUACUUAUCGCGAUGAAGCUAGCAACAAUUGCAAAAGGGCAUCUGAUAUUGGACAGAUUCAGCUCCAGUAUAUUUUUGUCAUCCAUUGAUAGUGGCUUUUAGGGACUCUUAAAAGGCUGCCUGUUUUUUCUGUGCAAACUGUUCCAUGUUAUAGAGGAAUCUUUGUAGAACAAAUGCAGGGUCACUUUAGGUUAGGAUGCUUAACAAGGUGCCAAGUACCACAAUGGCAGUGAGGAAUUAGGAAAAUCUGGGUUGAAAUUUUCCUUUAUCUUGCACCGGACUAUGUGAUAAAGUAUUUUCUCUACUCAAACACAAGUUGCAUGCCUUUUUGUGGAACUUCAUUGAGUGUUGUCAAGGGGGCGAUGAGGAGCUUACUUGUGUCCUGAAGUGAGGUGAAGCCUGAGCAUCUUAAGGGGUCUCAGGCGAGGCACUUUCAAUUCUGCAUUGGACCUCCCAUGCGGAGGGACAAGUGAACGUGUCAAUUGAGGGGUGCUGGGCAGCAGCCCAGCCUCUGCCUAGGCUGUCGGCUCGAAUGCCACCUGGAAACUGACUCAAUUAUUUGGGGAUCUAACAUUCUCUUGCCUUCCACAACCAGUUGUCUUUUCUAUCCUCUUCUGUCGUUGCUACGCCCACGAUAUAUCCUUGCUGCUGCCUUGUCUUCUCUCUCUUUACCCCCCUCUUUGUCUCCUCUCGGAGACUCUUAUGUCGGCUAUCACGAAAGAUAAUUCAGGAGAUGAAUGCUAUUGUGUCAAAGUUUUGGCAUGGGGUGAUGUUGAUGAUGUGUGGUGGACCUGUGUGAUUAUUGAAGCCACUGGAUUGUUAUCAGCUUUAUUUCUUUUGUUUUAUUAUUUAUUUAUGAAUUAUUUUGAUUAUUAUUUUGUUGA